CAUUAAGAAGCUAUGCACCAAGCACUAGCCUUUUAAGCUAGAGAAA
rnacentral:tRNA from 1 species